rnacentral:rRNA from 1 species
UAGGGAAUCUUCGGCAAUGGGGGCAACCCUGACCGAGCAACGCCGCGUGAGUGAAGAAGGUUUUCGGAUCGUAAAGCUCUGUUGUAAGAGAAGAACGUGUGUGAGAGUGGAAAGUUCACACAGUGACGGUAACUUACCAGAAAGGGACGGCUAACUACGUGCCAGCAGCCGGGGUAAUACGUAGGUCCCGAGCGUUGUCCGGAUUUAUUGGGCGUAAAGCGAGCGCAGGCGGUUUAAUAAGUCUGAAGUUAAAGGCAGUGGCUUAACCAUUGUUCGCUUUGGAAACUGUUAAUCUUGAGUGCAGAAGGGGAGAGUGGAAUUCCAUGUGUAGCGGUGAAAUGCGUAGAUAUAUGGAGGAACACCGGUGGCGAAAGCGGCUCUCUGGUCUGUAACUGACGCUGAGGCUCGAAAGCGUGGGGAGCAAACAGG